CUGAUGAGCACGCCGCGUGAUGUGAANAACGGCUUUCUUGGUCUGAAAGUUCUGUUGUUAAGGAAGAACGAGUACCAGAGUAACUGCUGGUACCUUGACGGUACCUAACCAGAAAGCCACGGCUAACUACGUGCCAGCAGCCGCGGUAA
rnacentral:rRNA from 1 species